UAUAUUAUGAUGGUAGUCCAA
rnacentral:siRNA from 1 species